AGGUUACUGCUAUCGAGGUUCGACUAAGCCAUGCGAGUCGAAUGUAGCAAUACAUGGCGAACUGCUCAGUAACACGUGGACAACCUGCCCUUAGGUUGGGUAUAAACCCGGGAAACUGGGUAUAAUACCCGAUAGGUCUCGAUUGCUGGAAUGCAUCGAGAUUUAAAGCUCCGGCGCCUAAGGAUGGGUCUGCGGCCUAUCAGGUAGUAGUGGGUGUAGCGUACCUACUAGCCUACGACGGGUACGGGUUGUGAGAGCAAGAGCCCGGAGAUGGAUUCUGAGACACGAAUCCAGGCCCUACGGGGUGCAGCAGGCGCGAAAACUUUACAAUGCUGGCAACAGCGAUAAGGGAACCUCGAGUGCCAGGUUACAAAUCUGGCUGUCGAGAUGCCUAAAAAGCAUUUCAUAGCAAGGGCCGGGCAAGACCGGUGCCAGCCGCCGCGGUAACACCGGCGGCUCGAGUGGUAACCGUUAUUAUUGGGUCUAAAGGGUCUGUAGCCGGCCGGAUAAGUCUCUUGAGAAAUCUGGCAGCUUAACUGUCAGGCUUUCAGGAGAUACUGUCUGGCUCGAGGCCGGGAGAGGUGAGAGGUACUUCAGGGGUAGGGGUGAAAUCUUGUAAUCCUUGAAGGACCACCAGUGGCGAAGGCGUCUCACCAGAACGGACCUGACAGCAAGGGACGAAAGCUAGGGGCACGAACCGGAUUAGAUACCCGGGUAGUCCUAGCCGUAAACGAUACUCGCUAGGUGUCGGCCACGGUGCGACCGUUGUCGGUGCCGUAGGGAAGCCGUGAAGCGAGCCACCUGGGAAGUACGGCCGCAAGGCUGAAACUUAAAGGAAUUGGCGGGGGAGCACCACAACGGGUGGAGCUUGCGGUUU
rnacentral:rRNA from 1 species